AUGGGUGCUGCUUCAUGUGGGCAUCCUUUCUGUGGUGAACAAGCAGAGGCCGAGGAAGUGCGGGCACGCGCAGCUGGCCUUGGCAGGUGUAGGAACCGUGCGAGGAAGGUUCAGCGCGCUGCACAAGUCGGGCCACGCCCGGAGCGCCGUGCCAACGCAUGUGUGCGUGGUCGGUGGGUUAGCCAAGAUCUGCAUUCUGCGACUUCAUCUUCACCAUGGACACAAGCAAGGACUGAUUGGUGGUUCUUGGUAGCGGUGCCGAGCAUCGGCGGAUCGAAGUGGUCGAGGUCGCGGUUAAUCCACCAGGACGAGACAUGCAUCUUGGAGCUAGCGCAGAGGGGGGAAGAAGCAGGAACUUUUGCGCAAAGAAAACACACACAGGGCAGGAACAUGACUACUCUUCCCCUUCCAAGUUUUUGA
rnacentral:rRNA from 1 species